GAUGAACGCUGGCGGCGUGCCUAAUACAUGCGAGUCGAGCGAACGGACGAGAAGCUUGCUUCUCUGAUGUUAGCGGCGGACGGGUGAGUAACACGUGGAUAACCUACCUAUAAGACUGGGAUAACUUCGGGAAACCGGAGAUAAUACCGGAUAAUAUUUUGAACCGCAUGGUUCAAAAGAGAAAGACGGUCUUGCUGUCACUUAUAGAUGGAUCCGCGCUGCAUUAGCUAGUUGGUAAGGUAACGGCUUACCAAGGCAACGAUGCAUAGCCGACCUGAGAGGGUGAUCGGCCACACUGGAACUGAGACACGGUCCAGACUCCUACGGGAGGCAGCAGUAGGGAAUCUGCCGCAAUGGGCGAAAGCCUGACGGAGCAACGCCGCGUGAGUGAUGAAGGUCUUCGGAUCGUAAAACUCUGUUAUUAGGGAAGAACAUAUGUGUAAGUAACUGUGCACAUCUUGACGGUACCUAAUCAGAAAGCCCCGGCUAACUACGUG
rnacentral:rRNA from 1 species